GUCUCGGUAGUUCAAUGUUAAGUACAACAUACUGGAUAUCUGUAUGUACGGGUUCGAGUCCCGCCUGAGUUU
rnacentral:tRNA from 1 species